rnacentral:rRNA from 1 species
GACGAACGAUGGCGGCGUGCCUAAUACAUGCAAGUCGAGCGGACUUGACAGGAGAGCUUGCUUUCCUUUCGGCCAGCGGCGGCCGGGUGAGUAACACGUGGGCAACCUGCCUGUAAGACCGGGAUAACUCGCGGAAAAGCGGGAUAACACCGGCUAGUUCCUCUUAUCGCAUGGUAAGAGGAGGAACGAGGGACCAAGCGCUCGCUUAUAGAUGGCACCGCGGCGCAUUAGCUAGUUGUGGGGGUAACGGCCUACCAAGGCUACGAUGCGUAGCCGACCUGAGAGGGUGAUCGGCCACAUUGGGACUGAGACACGGCCCAAACUCCUACGGGAGGCAGCAGUAGGGAAUCUUCCGCAAUGGACGAAAGUCUGACGGAGCAACGCCGCGUGAGCGAAGAAGGUCUUCGGAUCGUAAAGCUCUGUUGUCAGGGAAGAACAAGUACCGUUCGAUAAGGGCGGUACCUUGACGGUACCUGACGAGAAAGCCCCGGCUAACUACGUGCCAGCCGCCGCCGUAA